AUGGCUGGUGGAUCCAGGGGGAGGCUUUCCGCCACCGCCGCCGUGGAUCCAGGGGGAGCGAUGCAUCGUCGCGGGGUAUCUAGGGGUAGGGAGGCCGCCGACGCGGUGGAUCCAGGGGGGAGGGAGGCCGACGUGGUGGUUGCGGCGGAGGGGGGGCCAGCGGAGACCGGAGGCGCGUCAGGACAAGGGGGCGGCGACGCACCAGUAGGAGGUGGGAGCGGCGGCCUCGCGCCUGAGGAGGUGGGGGUGGCGACCUCGCGCCGGAGGAGGCGGGGCCGGCUGCGGCAGGGGGCGCUUCGGGACCCGGGGCGGCGACGCGCCAAGAGGAGUUGGGGGCGGCGGCUUCGCGCUAGAGGAGGCGGGGCCGGCGUCGCGUCCGGAAGGAGGCGGGGGCGGGGCAAGGUGGGCACCGGCUAG
rnacentral:rRNA from 1 species